rnacentral:rRNA from 1 species
CUUCUUUGCUGACGAGUGGCGGACGGGUGAGUAAUGUCUGGGAAACUGCCUGAUGGAGGGGGAUAACUACUGGAAACGGUAGCUAAUACCGCAUAACGUCGCAAGACCAAAGAGGGGGACCUUCGGGCCUCUUGCCAUCGGAUGUGCCCAGAUGGGAUUAGCUAGUAGGUGGGGUAACGGCUCACCUAGGCGACGAUCCCUAGCUGGUCUGAGAGGAUGACCAGCCACACUGGAACUGAGACACGGUCCAGACUCCUACGGGAGGCAGCAGUGGGGAAUAUUGCACAAUGGGCGCAAGCCUGAUGCAGCCAUGCCGCGUGUAUGAAGAAGGCCUUCGGGUUGUAAAGUACUUUCAGCGGGGAGGAAGGGAGUAAAGUUAAUACCUUUGCUCAUUGACGUUACCCGCAGAAGAAGCACCGGCUAACUCCGUGCCAGCAGCCGCGGUAAUACGGAGGGUGCAAGCGUUAAUCGGAAUUACUGGGCGUAAAGCGCACGCAGGCGGUUUGUUAAGUCAGAUGUGAAAUCCCCGGGCUCA